CACGACAUUAUGUGGGCCACUGAGGGGCUGAUUGGAGGGAGGACGAGACGAGCAGGAGUGCCGUGGAGAGCACCUGCAGAACAAGAGGCCAGAACCAGCUGGAAUUUGAAACAGGACACGAUCGCAGAUCGCACCCUGCCUGAGAAGGGGCAGAGCUGAACGCUGUCAGAAAAGAGGGUACAGAUCUCCGCAGGAGAGAAUGCAUAAUCUGGGUCUACCUCCAAUCUUUUCUGGAAUAAAACAAAGUAUUAUGAACAACUAACCAGCUAACCAAUUAAUCAACCAUGACAACUUGACUGGAAUCUUUGAAGCAGAACCGCACAGCAAGAAACCCCAGGUACCAGGUGCCCGGGUAGGACCCAGGCAUCUGGCUUCUGUUCUCAGCCCUUUAAGCAGUGGCAAUGGCAAUGCACUUGGCCUUGAGAGAUUUGUUGGUGUCAGAAGCUGCCAGACUUCUUUCUCCUGACCUACAACUGUUUACCAGAAAGGAGGACAGGAAGGAGAGGGCAAUGGAACCAGUCCCUGAUGGUGUGGCACUCUGGAGCCUGCCUGGAGCCGAUUUAGAGCAUCCCUCAGCGGGCAGCCGGAGGGGAGGCGAGCCCAGCUGCCCCUCGGCUGCCCCUGCUUGGGCUGGGGCAGAAGUCGCCGUUGGAAUCCCGCCCAGUGUGGGGACUGAGCCGCAAGCACAUCUUACCCUGAGCAAAAUGAAUUAAACGCCAAGCUCUAAAUGCAAAAGGGUUUCUUUUCGCUCAUGCUUUUGUUUCUCUUUCUCUCUCUCUCUCUUUUAAAAUGAAGUGGGAACAGUGGCAUGCAAAGAAUGGGGUGGUGGGGAGAGAGAGAGAAAAGCCGGGGACCUCAAAACCCGGGGUUCGCGCCCCUCUCCCCCUGGGCUCAAGUUCCCAACGCUAUUAUCCCGCCUCCUCAACCCCUGGCCUGCGAGAGGGAGGGCGAGCCGGCCGGGCAGCCAAGAGACGCGGAGCAAAGGCGUGAUUGAUAAUUGGCGACUGUAAUUC